rnacentral:rRNA from 1 species
UACGUAGGGGGCAAGCGUUGUCCGGAAUUAUUGGGCGUAAAGCGCGCGCAGGCGGUCUUUUAAGUCUGAUGUGAAAGUCCAUGGCUCAACCAUGGGAUUGCAUUGGAAACUGGGAGACUUGAGUGCAGUAGAGGAGAGUGGAAUCCUGGUGUAGCGGUGAAAUGCGUAGAGAUCAGGAGGAACACCAAUGGCGAAGGCAGCUCUCUGGACUGUAACUGACGCUGAGGCGCGAAAGCUAGGGGGAGCAAACAGG